AGUGAACGCUGGCGGUAGGCCUAACGCAUGCAAGUCGAACGGCAGCACAGUAGGAGCUUGCUCUUACGGGUGGCGAGUGGCGGACGGGUGAGGAAUACAUCGGAAUCUACUUUUUCGUGGGGGAUAACGUAGGGAAACUUACGCUAAUACCGCAUACGACCUACGGGUGAAAGCAGGGGAUCUUCGGACCUUGCGCGAUUGAAUGAGCCGAUGUCGGAUUAGCUAGUUGGCGGGGUAAAGGCCCACCAAGGCGACGAUCCGUAGCUGGUCUGAGAGGAUGAUCAGCCACACUGGAACUGAGACACGGUCCAGACUCCUACGGGAGGCAGCAGUGGGGAAUAUUGGACAAUGGGCGCAAGCCUGAUCCAGCCAUACCGCGUGGGUGAAGAAGGCCUUCGGGUUGUAAAGCCCUUUUGUUGGGAAAGAAAAGCAGCAGGUUAAUACCCCGCUGUUCUGACGGUACCCAAAGAAUAAGCACCGGCUAACUUCGUG
rnacentral:rRNA from 1 species